rnacentral:rRNA from 1 species
UACGAAGGGGGCUAGCGUUGCUCGGAAUCACUGGGCGUAAAGGGUGCGUAGGCGGGUCUUUAAGUCAGGGGUGAAAUCCUGGAGCUCAACUCCAGAACUGCCUUUGAUACUGGGGAUCUUGAGUUCGGGAGAGGUGAGUGGAACUGCGAGUGUAGAGGUGAAAUUCGUAGAUAUUCGCAAGAACACCAGUGGCGAAGGCGGCUCACUGGUCCGGUACUGACGCUGAGGUGCGAAAGCGUGGGGAGCAAACAGG